ACUCCUACGGGAGGCAGCAGUGGGGAAUAUUGCACAAUGGGGGAAACCCUGAUGCAGCCAUGCCGCGUGUGUGAAGAAGGCCUUCGGGUUGUAAAGCACUUUCAGUAGGGAGGAAGGUAGUGUAGUUAACACCUGCACUAUUUGACGUUACCUACAGAAGAAGCACCGGCUAACUCCGUGCCAGCAGCCGCGGUAAUACGGAGGGUGCGAGCGUUAAUCGGAAUUACUGGGCGUAAAGCGCAUGCAGGCGGCCUGUUAAGUCAGAUGUGAAAGCCCGGGGCUUAACCUCGGAAUUGCAUUUGAAACUGGCAGGCUAGAGUCUUGUAGAGGGGUUAGAAUUUCAGGUGUAGCGGUGAAAUGCGUAGAGAUCUGAAGGAAUACCAGUGGCGAAGCGGCCCCUGGACAAAGACUGACGCUCAGAUGCGAAAGCGUGGGAGCAAACAGGAUUAGAUACCCCUGGUAGCGACUGA
rnacentral:rRNA from 1 species